GAAAUAUUCUAUAUAUGUCUGUUAAGUCUAAAUUAUUGAUCUUAUUAUUUAGUUCUGUAGUUUCCUUAUUUAGUUUUUGUUUGGAAGAUCUGUCUAGUAGUGACAGAGGUGUGUUAAUGUCACCCAGUAUUAUUGUUUUGUGGUCUAUUUGACUCUUGAAAUUGAGAAGAGUUUGUUUGAUGUUCAUAGAUUCUCCAUUGUUUGGGGCAUAAAUAUUUAUAAUUGUCCUGCUUAUAUGUACUUCCUUUGAGAAGUAUGAAAUGUCCUUCUUUGCCUCUUCUGAUUAACUUUGGCUUGAAGCCUACUUUAUUUGAGAUGAGAAUAGAAACCCCUGCUUGUUUACACAAUCCAUAUGAGUGAUAAGAUUUUCCCAUCCUUUCACCUUCAGCCUGUGGAUGUCCUUGCCCAUGAGGUGAGUCUCUUGAAGACAGCAUAUUGUUGGGUCUUGCUUUUUAAUCCAAUCUGCCGGUCUGUGUCUCUUGAUUGACGUGUUUAGGCUGUUAACAUUCAGGGUUAUUAUUGGAGGUCUUUUCAUUCGGCAUGGCCUCGGCUACCUCUGACGCUACCUCUGUGGUCUCUGCCACUGACACACGGAGGUCUCCUGUCCAGUCAGUACCUGCCUGCAUCAGUACCGCCAUUGCUGCUGCCAUCCUGAGGUCACCUCGAGGUCUUCUUUCUGGGUGCUGCUGCCACCAAAGUCACUGCUGCCUCCAACGCAACUGAUGCCGACACCACAGCUGCCCCCAGAGAUCGCCCGGUGAUGCUGUCCCC
rnacentral:lncRNA from 1 species